UACGGAGGGGGCAAGCGUUGUUCGGAAUUAUUGGGCGUAAAGGGCGCGUAGGCGGUGCGGUAAGUCACCUGUGAAAUCUCCUGGCUCAACUGGGAGCUUCAGGCGAAACUGCCGUGCUGGAGUGUGGGAGAGGUGCGUGGAAUUCCUGGUGUAGCGGUGAAAUGCGUAGAUAUCAGGAGGAACACCUGUGGCGAAAGCGGCGCACUGGACCACAACUGACGCUGAGGCGCGAAAGCUAGGGGAGCAAACAGG
rnacentral:rRNA from 1 species